UACCUACGGGGCGCAGCAGUGAGGAAUAUUGGUCAAUGGACGAGAUUCUUAACCAGCCAAUUAUCUUUAAUGAUUACUUCCCUAUGGGUUGUAAACUUCUUUUAUAUGGGAAUAAAGUUUUCCACGUGUGGAAUUUUGUAUGUACCAUAUGAAUAAGGAUCGGCUAACUCCGUGCCAGCAGCCGCGGUAAUACGGAGGAUCCGAGCGUUAUCCGGAUUUAUUGGGUUUAAAGGGAGCGUAGGUGGAUUGUUAAGUCAGUUGUGAAAGUUUGCGGCUCGGCCGUAAAAUUGCAGU
rnacentral:rRNA from 1 species